rnacentral:rRNA from 1 species
AACGAACGCUGGCGGCAUGCCUAACACAUGCAAGUCGAACGAGACCUUCGGGUCUAGUUGCGCACGGGUGCGUAACGCGUGGGAACCUGCCCUUAGGUUCGGAAUAACUCCCUGAAAGGGGUGCUAAUACCGGAUAAUGUCUUCGGACCAAAGAUUUAUCGCCUUUGGAUGGGCCCGCGUUGGAUUAGCUAGUUGGUAGGGUAAAAGCCUACCAAGGCGACGAUCCAUAGCUGGUCUGAGAGGAUGAUCAGCCACACUGGGACUGAGACACGGCCCAGACUCCUACGGGAGGCAGCAGUGGGGAAUAUUGGACAAUGGGCGAAAGCCUGAUCCAGCAAGGCCGCGUGAGUGAUGAAGGCGUUAGGGUUGUAAAGCUCUUUUACCCGGGAUGAUAAUGACAGUACCGGGAGAAUAAGCUCCGGCUAACUCCGU